UUCAGCCUCUAAAUCCUCAUCUUUUUCUUUCUUCUUUCAUUCCCAAAUUUUAGGGUUUGCUCACCAUAAUUGGUGGUUGCAAUGUCGCACUUUGAAUCCUUUGCUGGUGCGAAUUCAUCCACACUCCAAUUGUUUUCCAACGUUGAUUCUCGUGGUUCUUCGGGCAUGGCCAAUCGCACAUCAGCACCAACUUGCAACUGUCCUGACAUCGCGAUUGUGCGAACUGCAAUCACAGAAAAUUACUAUGGAAGGAGAUUUUGGGAAUGUCCCAACUACAAGCGGCUGCAUUGUUGAAUUUUCACAAGACUACAUGCUGAAUUGCUAGGCUUAGCCAUUUUUAACUAUUGAUUUAUGUUGGUGAUUGAAAACAACGUGGGGUUGACAGUGGAUGCAACAACUUUCGAUGGCUACCAAAUGAAGUAGUUGAUGACAAAAGCCUAGUUAUUGUUAGACAAAGAAGGAAGAUUGUGAAGCUUGAGAUGUCGUUGAAGAACAAAGACAAAUGGCUGAAGUUUGUGAUUGUAAUUUGUUGUUUGCUGUUAAUGUUGAAUGUUAUAGUGAUGAACAUGUGGUGGAGCACAAGAAGUAAAGACAGGAGGAAUGUGUAUCUUAGGUAGAUAGGAAUUAUAAUGUUUUGUUGUAGUUGAAGUUGGUGUAAUGAAGCAGGUUGUAGCAAUGAAUUCUAAUUUCUAUGAAUUAAGACUUUUAUCUCAAUGAUGAUGCAUUUUUGGUA